AUGCAUAAAAAAUAAAAUCGUAAUCUAGAAUUUUUCCCUUUUUGGGCUAUAUUGCGCUGCUCUGAUAGUGGAUUGUUGUAAAAAAAAAGUUUAAUAUUUAGUGGGAGAAUGUAUCAGAAUAUCACAUCCUGAAACAUAAAGGCCUACAUUUAUAGAUGCAAUUGCACUGCCAAAGUAAAAAGGGCAAAGUUGAUGUUAUUCCUACAUACCAGCACAAAUCUCAAAGGAGUCGUCACAAAAAUUUAUUUGAGACAAGAACACUGAGACGGAUUUGUCCAAGAUUCAAACUUGAGAUCUAUUCCACAUACUCGCUGGGUCGUCUGCAUCUGGUUCGGACAGGUUGUGUGCUGUCAGUGAUGCUCUGCACUUUCCUGAAUACAACUACUUUUGCUAGAGCCUGAUGUGACUGUAAUGAAGAGUAAAAGUCUGAAUGAUUUAGUCCUCAUCCAUGUGCAGUUAUUGCCCACCACCAGAAGGUGCCUCCUACUGACGAUGUACUUCGCAGAUAAAAUCCAUUUCUAGCAGCACAUAACCUGUGGUGACGUAUAUGAGGAAAGCCACAGGCCAGGCGAGGUUACCACUUUGGACCUGGAUUCCUGGAUAUUAGUGGGGUUAAGAGAUAUUGGCCCUGCUAAAUUAGGACAUGUAGACUGUGAUGCAAUUAGACACUCGUCCUCCAUUAAACUGUGAUGUAAAUAAACUGUAAAAUGGGAACACUGAUAAAUAUCAUGGACUUAAGAUUUUACAUAAUACAAAUAGGUAUGUUUAUUUAAAAAAAAAAGAACCACACACUGUACUACAUAUGCCAGUUCACUUAAUGUGGUAUUUCAAUGUUGCAUAUUACUAUAAAUGAAAACGUGUAUUAACCAACAGUAUAGCUCUGUUUGUACUGUGAUAUGCCUUUAUUUAGACUAAACAUUUUUUAAGUAGUGCAUCAUAAUCAAACUGUUGGAUUUUAUUCUACCACAUAAAGAAAACACAACCCAGAUAAACAUGGCUGAAUGCACCAUAGAACCAAAUAUUUAUUUUUUUAUUUUUGUUACAAACUUUACAAAAAUGAGAAAAGUGACACCUGUAGUUAAAAGCUUGUAUAUUUAUUUUAAGGGAAUCCCAAAUCUGAAGCUUAAAAGUUAAUUGCUGUAUUAAAAACAUUAUUCAAAAGUAAAUGACACUGGUACAUACAAAAUAUAGCUAAAUAUGUUUUUGAUUAGGUGCUUGGAUGGCACAGCAGUCUAUUAUACUAGCCCCUAACCGCUGGGAUCCAGGUUUAAAUUUCAGCUGUGCUAUCAGCCGGCUGGGCAUCGACACAAAUGAUUAGCUGUGUCUUUGGUGAGAAUGAUAUAUAUCAACCACUAUAUCCCACUGUAUCUGUGCUAGAGUGGAUUGUGACUUAAAGCUUUCACCAUCAUGUCAUUGAUGCCUGACUUGCAGACUCCUAAACCAGUUAUUGUGAGGAUCCAUUUCAUUUCCAAAUUGUUAUAUAACGAUAGUUUUUAAAGUAAACAAUAAAUCUAAAUAAAUAAUUAAAUAGUGUAAUUGUAACAUGUUUAUGUUUAGUGUUUAUUUACCUGACAAUUAUUUCUUUUUUGGUACUGUACUCUUAAAGGCAGUUCACAUCUACUAAUAGUGUUAUGUAGUAGUUUUGUGCUCUGUGCUUAGAUAAUUGAGGUGGCUGAAGACGUACAAUUUAGGCGUACAAUGUUUGUGCUUUCAUGUUAAAGAUCUACUAAUCUCCAUUACUUUGUAAUGUACAGUAUUUAUACAGGUUUCUCUUUGCAAAAUUGAUACAUUUUUCCUUUUCUUAAUAAGAAAAAAAUUCAGUGUUUCAUGAUUGAACAGUUUGUACUUGUUUCUUGGUGUGAUUACUGGUUGGUGGCUUGUCAUGGACAUUUUUUUGUGCUUUUUCAGGUGCUAAAUGUAUAUAAUGUUUAUUUUAUGAUUAAGGUUAUGUAUAAUUUUACAAUUCUAGCUUUAACCCAGUAUUUUAAUGGACCUACUGUGACCCUGACCAGGAAGAGCUGAUUAAUGAAAAUAACUGAAUAAAUGUGAAUCCACUUG